AUGAUUCAAAGUCGGUUAUAUAAUCUACUGCAUUUUCACCAAAAGUCAUUUGUUUUCUUUUCUUUUGCCUAUCAUUUUUGCUACUGUAAAAGUUUAGGAUAACAAUGGCAAAUAUUGUUACAUUAAAACUUGUUCCAUGUUUUCAACCAAUUCUUGUUUUUCCUCUUGUUCACUUCCAAUUUGAAAUUCCUCAUUCGAUUUUUGCUAGAGUCCCAAGAUUGCCUUAACUCGUUGGUGUCGUAAGAUUGCUCGAAGGAGUGUUAUUUAAGAUGCAUACAUUAUUGGUAUGUAUGAGUUCAAUACUAGACAGUGAUGGAAUUAACGUAUAUGUCCAUACUACUGAUCCCUUGGAGUCAUCAAUUAUACCUGAAGAUCUUUCCCUAGAUGUCGUCGAAAUAUUUAAAGCACGUGUUAGGAGAAACUUUGGCAAGGCAAAUGAACUUCGCCAAAAAAUUAGCUAAGUAGGAUACCAGUUGAUAAAUCUUGAAAACAAAGAGAUACUUCAUCGAAAGUAUAGACUUAGACUAAGGGGUAUCGAGGCACUAGAGAAUGAUAUGCCAUAUGGAAAAGAAGUUAAAGAAGAGUUGAUUAAGCUGGUUCGUGGGAAACAAUUGACGGUGUUCAUCUAUGACAUGGAUUGUUAUGGUCAUUACGUGGCAAAUGUGUAUUAUCACGACACUCUUGUGCAGAAAGUAAUGUUAAAGAAAAAGCUUGCAUGGCAUUAUGCUGUUUAUGAUUGUCACGACCCGAAACUCCCCAACGAGCCCGUGACAACCGCCGCGAAGCCUCGACAAACAUUCUUCACCCCGAAUGUCGAUCGAAACCUCGUGAGGCUCUCGUAUCAGCUUCCGCACUUCCCCGGUGAGCAAUAGUUAUCAAAUAUCAAAAUUCGAAGGAUUACAAAUCAUUUCCAAAUCAGAACAUAACACAUUGUUUUCUAGCUCACAAGGGCAUUUUCGUCAUUUCACAUUUUAUUUUUUGAAAAUCUCAAAACUUGCUAAAAAUGUAGUAGGUAAGCAGAAAAAUAUAUAUUUAAUGAUUUAAAAACAAAUUAAGUAUCUAAAACGUUCAUUUGAAGUAAAAUUUUGACUAUUUGAAUAUAAUAAAAAUAUUCAAUAAAAUAAACUAUUUUCUUGUAAAAUAAUUUUCAUAAAACUAUCGGUACAUAAUUCUUAUAGCGUAAAAGUUAAUUAUAUUCAUAUAUACUAUAAAGCAAAUAAUCAAAGCAUAAAAUUUCUUUACAAUGACACGUGGGCUCACAUCUAUCCAAAAUGCAUCGGAAGCUGGAAACUUACAGCUUUUACCGAUUCGAGUCCAAAUGAAGGUUCUUGUCAAAGUCAGCUAACUAUGGAAUUCCCCGAGCCUGAAAUGUGAGGAAAUGAGGGUGGUGAGAUUGUAAAAUCCCAGUGAGUAAACAGAUACCAUCUAAACUAUCUAAAGUCAAGUAAAUAGAGACAAUUGAAAUAAGUCAUCAUAUUGUAAUUUCAUUACCUUUCAACUCAUUUCAACCAAAUAAAAUCAAUCCAUAUAAAUUGAGUAAUCAACUUGGCUUAUGAAUUUUUUAAAACUUUGGCUUGUGCCAAAACUCAUACUUGGUGAUACCUUACGCAGGGCAUCCAACCGAGUCCACCGAGGCUGUUAAAAUUUUGUAUACACUUAAAAUAUAUUUUAGUUUGAUAAAUACAGCCGUUCCUUGACAUUGGCUGAGUUCCCCUUCACGUGGUGGUUUAGCGUGAAGUGAACCCUAAGCUUUACCCCAGAAGAUACCUUACGCGCCUCUCCGUUCGAGGUAAGAAUAUAAUGGAGUUUACCAUGUCCCUCUAAUAGGAUGGUCCACGGAACCCCCUCUGCAGUGAAUAAUUAAUAUAUACUCCACCAAUCAAUAAAAUUCAUUCUAGCAUGACAUGACAAUUUAUCGCAACCUAGCCUCUCAAGGCUGAAUACACAGUAUAAAUAAUUCUAACACCAAAAUUAGUUUAGCCACUCAUGCUCAUUUAUUGUCAUAAGCCAUUCAAUUCAAAACCAUAAAUUUGCAACACAAGCAGGCAGUCUCCAAUUACUCUAUUUCAAAACCAGUAUUCAAUUUUUCAGAAAAUUUAUAAAAUCAUUUUAUAAAAUCACAAUUUCUCUUAAAACAUAGCAAUUUACCAUUUAAACCCAUUUUCCAUAAAAUCACACAAUUGUAUAAAACUACUCUAGAUAUUUAAGACGAUAAUAAGUUUAUUCACAGUUCUAGGAGUCGAUAUACUCCUAAUCCUAGUCUCCAAGCACAAUUUCUGUACUUUUAUCAGUGUACUUUGCUCACCACCUAUCCACAAUGUACAAUACAUAAUUCAUCACAUCAAUGCUUGAUCAUUAUAAAAUCAAUCCAGGCUCGGCAUACAUACAUGAUAUGAUAUACAACUUAUCAGACUACCGUUUAAAUACGGUGCUGACCUAAUUCGGCCUAUUAUCUCCAAUUUAACUCCAAAUCAAUUCUUCUCACUUUCUACACUCCAAUUAUACCUAAAUUACCUUAAUAACUGUGAAUGAGAUUCAAUUUAUCAGUCCCGAUAGCAAAUUACGAAAAUACCCCUAGUGGGUAAAAAUUCAUAUUUUUACUCCGAAAAUUCCCAUUAUUUUUCUGAGCUCAUAAUUCAUCAUUUCUUAACUAAUUCUCCUAAAAUGAAAAUCAAAUUCAUCCUCACUCAACACAUGAUAAAUUCGGCCAUUAAGGGUUGUGGGAGAAAAUAAAUUCUUUUCUUGUUGUUUUGUUUCUAAAUAUGCUAAACUAACUUAAAAUACUAACAUAACUUAAAAUCAAAUUAAUCUAACAAUUUUCUCUCUCCUAACCCAUUUUUCAGAACUGAAUUCAUCAUAAUAACUCAAUAUUCAACCAUGAAAAUCAAGAACAAAAGUAUAGGUAAGCUAGGUAUCAAGGAGAACUAAAGAAAUUCUAACUUACCUAGCUUGUUUCCUUGAUUUCUUCACUUUUUCUUUGAAUUUCCACCUAGGUUUUCUUGUUUUUCCCUUUGUUCUUCCUCUCUUUCUCUCUCUUCCUUGCUUGGCCAGC
rnacentral:lncRNA from 1 species